UUCUGCGCCGAAAAUGUAUCGGGAGUAAAGUCAUCUACCGAAGCUUAGGGUGCAGUCCGCAAGGGCUGCGCGGUAGCGGAACGUUCCGUAAGUCUGUGAAGGUAGACCCGUGAGGGCUGCUGGAGAUAUCGGAAGUGCGAAUGCUGACAUGAGUAACGAUAAACAGUGUGAGAAACACUGUCGCCGAAAGACCAAGGGUUCCUCCUUAAAGUUAAUCUGAGGAGGGUGAGCCGGAUCCUAAGGUGAGGCCGAAAGGCGUAACCGAUGGCAACCAGGUUAAUAUUCCUGGGCUAGUGGAUAGUGACGAAUCGUAGAAGUUGUUCGGGAUUAUUGGAUUUCCCGGGCAUCCAAGCGGUUCCAGGAAAUAGCUACCACAUCAAUCCGUACCCGAAACCGACACAGGUGGUCAGGUAGAGUAUACCAAGGCGCUUGAGAGAACUAUGCUGAAGGAACUCGGCAAAUUACCCUCGUAACUUC
rnacentral:rRNA from 1 species